UCGUAACCGCGACAAUGGAAGUAGUUUCUCACUUUUCUCUUUUGAAUAACACAUAUUUAUCAUAUAAUCGUUUUAAAGGAACAGAAUUUCUGACACCAAACUUCGUCAUGUGCAAAGGAUUCACCAUUCAACCUUUUUCUCUAAUACAGUCAAUCACAUAAAUGAAGGUUUAACAUUUUACGUUUGUAUAAUAUUCGGAAGGAAGCAUUCAGACAUUAAGGUAAUCGCGACUACAUUGACAAAUUCUACGAACAUAAGAAAUGUUUUCUUACAUAGGAAAAUGGAGAUUAUGUAAGUCGAACUGUCGACGUAUUUCAUCAGUAUCUGAACUUCAAGUUCAUCUUUCAGCGUGGUGUCUGUCUUGCGUAGAUUGUCAAAAAUAUAUACAUUCUGUACCCACAUAGAAAAAUAUAUAUGAAUCUCCUUAUCUGAACUUCACACAGUUCACUUUAGAGCAUCACGUACCACUGGGAACAUUGUUACGGAAGAGACAUAUCGCAUGAAAAAGACCAUAACUGGGCAUGAUGCGGAUAACGUUACGAUGCAACCACGAAAUGUAAUACCAGCUUUAAAAAGCGAUAGUACCUAGAAACAUAUUGUGUUAAUUCCUUAUGUCAAGAAAGAGGUCACAUCCUUAUAGAGUGUUAAUACAAUAACAUAUUUAUCUUUGCACGAAUUGUUCGUACUAUGAUUUGUAACGAGUAGAUUCCCCAUAAAAUGUCGGGCUGUACAUGGGUUGAGAGGUUAAAAAUAAUGAAUUCUGGUUACCUGGAGAACUAUGUAGAUUUGGCGAAGGAAAGAAAGAAAAUGAACCAGCAUUUAAUUUCAGUUGUGAUAGGUUAUGAACAUGAAUUUACGAUAACUAACGAGUAAUUCGCAAAAAUUAGACGUAGGCGAAAAUGGAUAAAGGAUGUACAACAACGACUGGUCCUAUCAAGGAAAAGAUGACUCAGAUUUUUGGGAAAUUUCAAGCUGGAAAUUUGAUGAGCACAAGAUAUCGUUCAACAAUAGAUUUUUUAUAGGAAUUCUGUGACUAAUAUAAUGAACAAUAUGAAAGAAUGUGCUAUCGUUAAAUUAAGUAUAUCUAAUUAGUACUGAAAGAAACAGAAACGAAUGAUCUUGAAUUAUAUAUGUUCAAGAUUUGAAGUGGCCACCUGGUAAUUACCGGGACGCUUUAUGUGAACCAGAUGCGAUCCUCGGGCAGAACGACCGUCAAGGGUCUGCGCUACCCUAGUGCGGAUCCAUCAUAAACAGUGGGCCUAUUGUACAGUCAAGGUACUUUAGGACCCCACGGAAAAAACUCAUAAGGCACGAAACUUCUUUAUUUUAUGGUACAUCUCAGAAAGACCGGACACGCGGUUUUCCCCAAGCGUAAGGUCACCUGCGCGCGAAUCUUCAUGAAGAAAACCAGCCCAUCCUCAAACAUAUGUCUUUACCCAAUGAUCAGUCAGGAACAGACUUGAGACACACCCACCACGAACUUUCCUCUACGACAGCAACAUCCCCAAGAGACACUCCUGCAGCAGUAUUCUAAGAGUCAAGAUAUAACAGUAUUCUGUCAGUGACCAUUAUAUUUAACAGGACAGCCAGUGAACUAAAGACAGUUGUAUUCAGAGUAUUGAAUGGAAUAAAUAAGGUGAAGUAAUCCACGCUCUGUACAUUUAUUAUAAUCCUCCAUCUUGGACGCGAAUAACGUACAAAGCUCGCGAUACCAACCGAUUAGUUGUGCCUGACUGUUCGCUAGUUAGUUGAGUGUCGUAACAAUAUACAGGGGCGAGACAAUAUAUCAUAGAAAAAAUGCUGCAUAUUAUGAUAGUAUAACUUCCAUCUAUCUAAGUUAUAAAACGUCAAGUGAAUUGUAGCCAUGCAUGUGGUGUUAUUUCAAUUUAAAAAAAAUAUGAAAUAUGCUACAUUUUAAUAAUUUCAAUAAAUGGAAUUAUGUUGAAAUGUGUGUAUGGUAUUACAUAAAGAUUGAUGAUUCUAAAUUCAUAAACCUUUUCGACUAUUCCGAAAAGGCAAAGAAAUAUUCGAUUACUCUCGAUGGAUGAUCGCACGGAAAAAUCAAACAUAACUACGAUUUUUGGUUGUAGAUCAAAAUUACAGAGAAAGAAAAUCAUAAGUCACAUUUCCUACGCUUUACAGGAAACGAAUUCUAACAUUACCAAAAUUGUGUCUGUAUUCGACUGCGGAAUUAUGCGUGUACUUUUAUCCAGUUCAAACAUUGAAAAACAGUGCUCGUCACAAUAUUCCAGUAUCACAGAGAUAUUAAAACAUUGCUUGCCUUAAUAAUUAAACCAAUUAUCUUCUGUGUACUAAUAACGCAAUGUACAACAUUAAUAUGAUGUUUUAAGUAAAACCAAAUAUUAUGUCUAUCAUAAAAACACACGAGAUUGAAAAUAUAAAGCAAAUUCCAUUCCACUUCAGAAUUUCCAGAAGAAUGAAACAUACCACCAGUGACGAAUGUAACUUAUUUAUUAUUAAAUAAUACUUUGUAUCACUACUAUCAACAACUAUCGUAAAGUCAAUGAUGCUGGAGAAAUUCUACUGAAGAGAGUAUAUCAUAGUAAAGUAUGAGACGGACGUACUCAGCAUCUGAAAUGCAAUAACAUUUGAAUAACAGAUA